rnacentral:rRNA from 1 species
AUUGAACGCUGGCGGCAUGCCUUACACAUGCAAGUCGAACGGUAACGGGCCUUCGGGUGCCGACGAGUGGCGAACGGGUGAGUAAUACAUCGGAACGUGCCCGAUCGUGGGGGAUAACGAGGCGAAAGCUUUGCUAAUACCGCAUACGAUCUACGGAUGAAAGCAGGGGACCGCAAGGCCUUGCGCGGACGGAGCGGCCGAUGGCAGAUUAGGUAGUUGGUGGGAUAAAAGCUUACCAAGCCGACGGUCUGUAGCUGGUCUGAGAGGAUGAUCAGCCACACUGGGACUGAGACACGGCCCAGACUCCUACGGGAGGCAGCAGUGGGGAAUUUUGGACAAUGGGCGCAAGCCUGAUCCAGCCAUGCCGCGUGCAGGAUGAAGGCCUUCGGGUUGUAAACUGCUUUUGUACGGAACGAAAAGCCUUCUUUUAAUACAGGAGGGUCAUGACGGUACCGUAAGAAUAAGCACCGGCUAACUACGUG